GCUUCUUUAUUGCUCUGAUUGCACGAUGUUGUGUUUUCUCUUGCUUUAAUAAGAAGCCUGCCAAUUUGUUUUUCAUGAUUCAUCUCUGUAUGUCUUGAGGCUUCUUAUUUUUGAUGAGAAUUUCACAGCUUAUAUUUUUGCAGUGUUUAGGAUGAAUGCUUAUUAAGCUUAUCAUGAUCCUGAGGCAUCAGCUCAACAAGAUACCCAAGCCUGUGCUUCAUUCUUAUCAUAACAGCUUCUGAAAGAACUACUUGCAGCUUUGGCAUUGUCUCAGGAAUGGUGUUGUUUUGAGUUCAGAUUUGCCAGACUCAUUCAGAAACUGUGGGUUUGCACUUCUGCCAUUCAAGAUGUGGACUAAACAAUCAAGAUAUAUUUUUAAAGAUGAGUCCUGAGUUCCUUUCUGGAAAUUGAGAUAAAAAAGCGGUGAGAGUGAUCCCAAGUCCUGAGAAGGAGAAAUAGGGACAGCCUCAGUCCACCUCUGCUACUGCACAGGCUGAGGAUUUUCAUAGCCCUGGGCGCCAGCAUAGAUCAGUCUCCUCCCCUCUCAAACACUACUCCAUGUGAAACAUUUCUCUAUUGAAAAAAGCCUUUCCUGUUCUUUGUGCUGUUUUUCUAUCUCAUUACACACAGACCAUCGAUUAAGCAACAGUGGAACUCGGGAAAAGGCAAAGUGGCUUGGAAGUAAUUGAUCUCCAUUCAGUCUUGGUGGAAGAAGUCAUAAUCUAUAGUGGUGAUGUAUCUGUCCUCCCAUGCAUUUCUUUUUGCAAGGAAACACAAAAUUACUCAAAAUUUUAGGACUUGUGCAUUUCAGAAUAUAUUUGAAAAACAGCUCCUUGUCUGAUUAAAAAUAAUGAAAUUGUUGCUAAGCUACAGAAUAUGAAAUUUCGGAACAUCAAAUUCAAUUUCUGAGAGAGUCCUGUUUCUUCAAGCAGAGCCCAUUUUCACAUGGUAGGUGUCUUAUGCACAUACAUUCUAGGCUAUUUCUUUGCCAUUUCUCAGCUGUGUUAGGGCUGAGCAGGGAUGACCAUGUUACAAUGCUGUUGUGGCAUUUUAGUCUUAUCUGCUAUGAUGUCAGUGCAUGGGGAAAUCCUCUGAGGUCUGUAUCAGAGUACAUUGGUGAUGGAUGGAUGUAUCGGCUCAUUCUAAAUGUUCUUGAGCUGGACCCGUUGGAAGGAAGUUUAGUGUCAGUGUCGAGUGGUGGGAUGGUAAGAAAGCUUUUGUGACACUGAAAACCUUUGUGGCAAUUACAGAGAGAAAGUGAAGAUGUGUAACAGGGCAGGAUGCAAGGAUGAGUACAAGGAAGACAAGGUCUGAGCAGGGACGGCAGUGCUGGGGAAUGGUCUGAGAGGGCCAUGAGAAGGAGAACAGAGUACUCAGUAAAAUAUCAGAUGCUGCAGGAAUAAAAACAAAAACAAAGUGAAAAAAUAUCUAAUAUUUGGGGAUUCAGUAUUUGCUGCAUGACACAACCUGGAAAUCACAGGCCAGUAUGUAGCAGGGCUGUGUGUGAACUUAACACUGGGAUGAGCUUUUCUGAGAUAGUAAUGGUUCAGGCAUUGCGAACAGCUGACUGUUUGGGCACUUGAAUCCUUCAGUGAGCACAGAUCCUCUCUUCAGCUACGUGGGCUCUCCUGGUGCUAUCUGGAAGCUGUUGAUCCCAGAUACUGGAAAUGAGAUGCGUGUACAGACUUUAGUUUGCCUUUAGAAUUGUCAGUGUUAGCUGAACAGCAGUGGUAGAGACAGAAAGGUGGAUUAUGGCCAUGCUGUUAGUAGCUGCUGCUGCAAAGAGCAGGGAAAUAAACAGCACCCAAACCUGAGAAGAUCAGAAGUGAUAAAUGAUUUGCAGCAGGCAGGAAAGAAAGGCAAAAAGCAAACUCAAGAAACAGAGUGGUGAUCUGGAGAGAAAUGUAAAUAGUCUGAAUUGUGGGCACUGACAGGAAAAAUAUAAAUGCUUGUAGAAUAAGAAAAGAAGCUGCUCUGCAGAGGUGUGCAAUCAAUUACUGGAAUAGGUGAGUAAGAAGCACCAGCUGAAACUACUUCAGUGAAAUGGCUUUUUGACACUGUACUGGAUUUGUGGCUGAGCAGAUGCCUUUGAGGAAGAAGUGGCUGCUUGCCACACACAAAAAAGAAACAACCACAACCCUUUUCUUUUUCUUAUUGUAAGCCUGAACUCCUGAAAACCAAAUGUUUCAUAUGUCUUUUAACACUAGAAAUUCUGCCAAGAAAACUUCAAACAUUUUUGUGGCAACUCAAGGCAAAACAGCUAAAGUUUUUCUUCCUUUCUUUCCUAUUUUCUGUGAGAAUAAUGACCAGUGUCACAGCCGAUUCGUAGUAAGAAGGAUGAGCAGGUUGCAUCUCUGCAGAGAGCAGCAGCAUCUUAUGGGCUGCUGGUGUGAGGAGGUAGAGGAGAUAAUUUGUGGAACUGAAACUCCGACUGUCACAAAGACUGGCGGCUCAAAUGUUCCUUGUCAAACUGACAAACUGUGUGAAAUGUGAGCAGUGUUAAAGGCUUCUGCAGAAUUUGACAGAGUAUCUGUACGUAAAUCACUGGAGAGCAAAUCCAGGUAAAAAUAUCUGUGCUAGCUUAUUAGCAUAAAAUCAGAGAAUGGUUUGGGAUGGAAGGGACCUCAAGAUCAAGUUCCAACCCCCCUGCCACAAGGCAGGGCCACCCCUCCCUGUCUUUGUUGGCCACCCUUCUUCUGAUGGAGCCCAGGAUACCGUUUGCUUUCCAAGCUGCAAGAGCACGCUGCUAGUCGUGGUCAGUUUGUCAUCCACCAGGACCCCUGGCUCUUUCUCCGCAGGGCUGUUCUCAAGGAUUUCUUCCCCCAGUCGGUAUAUGUACCUGGGAUCACUCUAACACAAGCCUUGCUCUUUGCUGUGUUGAACUUCUUUAGCUUUACAUGGACCCACCCAUGCUAGCAUCUCCCAGGAGUGUGAAAUAGUGGAGUGGCACAGGUAGGAAGGAGAGGUUGAGGUACCUCAGGAAAGUGUCUUCUCCACCCCUGCUCAAAGCAGGCCCAGCACUGGAUUCAGACCACGUUGCUUAGGUCUUGGCUCCAACUGGGUCUUAAAAAUCUCCAAGAUGGCACAAAGCAAAUACAGGAGAGGAUGCAGUCGUGCAAUGCCAGGGCUACUAUUUGCCAGCCAUGAGCAGAGCAAAUACUCUGUCCUGCGUGGGGUGUGUUUUAGAGAACUCUGACGGCAGUUAGCCACAGAAGCAAAGCAAUAAUAGUAAUGCUUGGUGUUAAAACAAGUUUCUUUUUAAAAAUAAAGUUCAAAAGAGAUUGUGUGUUGUGAAUAAAACACAAGACUGACAGAAUAAAACAGCAAAAGAAAAAAAAAUAUUACAAAAGCGACAAAUUCUGCCUAUUGGUUGAUGGAGCAUAUUAAAGCUGGAGACCAGUAUUCCUUGAACAGAAGAAAAUUCCUGCUAACAUCCACAAAGGGUUUCUGAGCUGUAACUGGCAAAAGUCACUUUGUGGUAGGAGAAGGUAAAUGAUUAACAGCUGGGUGAGGGCUGCAGCCUUCUAUCCUUGUGUAGCAGCUUCCUAGGGCAGCAACCCAGAGCCCCACUACAGCCAGUCAAGGGCUCAGCAGGCUGCUGUGGAGAUGUGGAAACAUUUCAGAUAUUCUAGUUUUGUUGGGCCCAGCAAAGAGAUCUCAAAAGCACCUUUUGCU